rnacentral:rRNA from 1 species
GAUGAACGCUGGCGGCGUGCCUAAUACAUGCAAGUCGAGCGAACGGACGAGAAGCUUGCUUCUCUGAUGUUAGCGGCGGACGGGUGAGUAACACGUGGAUAACCUACCUAUAAGACUGGGAUAACUUCGGGAAACCGGAGCUAAUACCGGAUAAUAUUUUGAACCGCAUGGUUCAAAAGUGAAAGACGGUCUUGCUGUCACUUAUAGAUGGAUCCGCGCUGCAUUAGCUAGUUGGUAAGGUAACGGCUUACCAUGGCAACGAUGCAUAGCCGACCUGAGAGGGUGAUCGGCCACACUGGAACUGAGACACGGUCCAGACUCCUACGGGAGGCAGCAGUAGGGAAUCUUCCGCAAAGGGCGAAAGCCUGACGGAGCAACGCCGCGUGAGUGAUGAAGGUCUUCGGAUCGUAAAACUCUGUUAUUAGGGAAGAACAUAUGUGUAAGUAACUGUGCACAUCUUGACGGUACCUAAUCAGAAAGCCACGGCUAACUACGUG